ensembl:lncRNA novel transcript
CUCUGUCACUCAGGCUGGAGUGCAAUGGCACAAUCUCAGCUCACUGGAAACUUCACCUCCCAAGUUCAAGCGAGUCUCCUGCCUCAGCCUCCUGAGUAGCUGGGAUUACAGACAUGUACCACCACACCUGGCUAAUUUUUGUAUUUUUAGUAGAGAAGGGGUUUUACCAUGUUGGUCAGGCUGGUCUUGAACUCCUGAUCUCAAGUGAUCUGCCUGCCUUGGCCUCCCAAGGUGCUGGGAUUACAGGCGUGAGCCACUGUGCCCAGCCAAGAAUGGGCUUUGGAUUGGAGUUUAGGGUCAGCACAGCAUGGGUGUCACAAGCUUCCUCCUGUCCCCAGCUGUUCCGAUGGCCCCACUAUGGGGCUCCACUGGCUGGGGAGUGUCUGUCUGUGCAGGUGGUCAACUGCAGCCGUGUAUUCAGCCUUAGGCCUCUAGGGACCCUGGUGAUCUCCCUGCAGCAGCUACAGAAUGCUGGGCAUUUGGUGCUACGGGAAGCCCUAGUGGAUGAGAAUCUUCAAGUGUCCCCGAUCCAGGUGGAGCUUGACCUGAAGUACCAGCCCCCAGAGGGCGCUACUGGAGCCUGGUCAGAGGAGGACUUUGGGGCACCCAUCCAGGACAGCUUCGAGUUAAUCAUCCCCAAUGUGGGCUUCCAGGAACUGGAGCCUGGGGAGGCCCAGCUGGAGCGGCGGGCAGUGGCUCUAGGCCGCAGGCUAGCUCGAAGUCUAGGCCAGCAGGACGAUGAAGAGAAUGAGCUGGAGCUUGAGCUGGAGCAGGACCUGGAUGAUGAGCCUGACGUGGAACUUUCUGGUGUUAUGUUCAGCCCCCUCAAGAGCCGCGCCAGGGCCCUGGCCCAUGGGGAUCCCUUCCAGGUGUCCAGAGCUCAAGACUUCCAGGUGGGAGUCACUGUGCUGGAAGCCCAGAAACUGGUGGGAGUCAACAUUAACCCCUAUGUGGCCGUGCAAGUGGGGGGGCAGCGCCGUGUGACCGCCACACAGCGUGGGACCAGUUGCCCCUUCUACAAUGAGUACUUCUUGUUCGAAUUUCAUGACACGCGGCUUCGUCUCCAAGACUUGCUGCUGGAGAUCACGGCUUUCCAUUCGCAGACCCUCCCCUUUAUGGCCACCCGGAUAGGCACCUUCAGGAUGGACCUGGGCAUCAUCUUGGACCAGCCAGGAACCUGCUCCUGCCGCGCGGGGUGCCCGCCGAGAGGCCAUGGGCGCGGCUCCGCGUGCGCCUGUACCGCGCCGAGGGGCUUCCCGCGCUGCGCCUGGGGCUGCUGGGCAGCCUGGUCCGCGCCCUGCACGACCAGCGCGUCCUGGUGGAGCCCUAUGUGCGGGUGUCUUUCC